GGGAAGGUGGCUCAGUGGUAGAGUACUUGCCUUGCAUGCAUGAGGCCCUGGGUUUGAUUCCUCAGCACCCCA
rnacentral:tRNA from 1 species